GGAGAAGAAGGAAGAAGCCCCCCUGUCUUUCCUGGACGGGACAUCGCCGAUUGUACAAGCGGUGGAUGACUGAGUGGAGGAGAUCAUCGCUUUAGACUUGUGGUGUGAUAUAUUUUUUUCCAUGUGGCUCUACGGUGGAGAAGAUGGAAAUGCCCUGGCUUGCCUUGACGGGACAGAACACAGCGAUGUAUAUAACUCAUCAGAGAGCACAGUGUUUCUAGC